rnacentral:rRNA from 1 species
AGUGAACGCUGGCGGUAGGCCUAACACAUGCAAGUCGAACGGCAGCACAGUAAGAGCUUGCUCUUACGGGUGGCGAGUGGCGAACGGGUGAGGAAUACAUCGGAAUCUACUUUUUCGUGGGGGAUAACGUAGGGAAACUUACGCUAAUACCGCAUACGACCAACGGGUGAAAGCAGGGGAUCUUCGGACCUUGCGCGAUUGAAUGAGCCGAUGUCGGAUUAGCUAGUUGGCGGGGUAAAGGCCCACCAAGGCGACGAUCCGUAGCUGGUCUGAGAGGAUGAUCAGCCACACUGGAACUGAGACACGGUCCAGACUCCUACGGGAGGCAGCAGUGGGGAAUAUUGGACAAUGGGCGCAAGCCUGAUCCAGCCAUACCGCGUGGGUGAAGAAGGCCUUCGGGUUGUAAAGCCCUUUUGUUGGGAAAGAAAAGCAGCAGGUUAAUACCCCGCUGUUCUGACGGUACCCAAAGAAUAAGCACCGGCUAACUUCGUG